CGGCGGCCAAAGGAGGGGCCGCGCGCCGCCCCCCCGGGCAACGCCCCCCCGGGGUCACCCCACACCGAGUAAUGCAUCUUCAGGGGUCACCCCGCAACAGUGGAUGGAAGAGUGCAAGGCACGUGGAUCCAGAUGAAGGAACUGACCAUCUCUGAGAUACCUCCUCUGGCUGGAGAGGCAGUUCAACAGGAGGUUGAAGAGACAGAUUAAUUCUUCAGGUCCAAGAAUCAGAACUGUCUCCAUCAUAGUGGAACUAGCUGAAACCUCCCUGAGCUUCUUGAGUACUCUUGGUUCAAUAGAAGUGGAAGACUGAGAGAGGUGAAAAGUUGCAAAGUCUGCUGCGUGAUGUCGGUUACCUGUUGAUGAGACUUGGCACAAAUGAGCCAGUUGUAAAGAUCAACCUGGACUUUUUGUUUCCUGAGUUGGCUACGAGACUCCAUCCCAUCAUGGCACAAGAAGAGCUGGCCUCAAUUAUUCAUGCCUUCAUCAUCUUUCAGCUGGACUACAGCAAUGUGACAUACCUGGGCAUGAAACCUUCAGCACUUUGGAACUUCCAACUACUAUAAAACACUCCAGCACAGUCUCCUCAAAAACAAAGGCUACUAUGAACACAUCCUACUCUCUAAACUGGCUCCGGAUAGAAUUCUGAAUCAAGUUCAAGGUAUUGGUCCUUAUCUUCAAAUUGUGCCAUGGCCUGGACUCAAGAUACAAAAGAAUCUCAAGAGUUACGAACGUCUUGGGAAUGGAGG